GUACCUGAUUAUAUCCAUGAAUAUUAAAUACUUACUUUUGAUAUAAUAAUGGAUAAAUAAUAAAGGGGACCAUAAUGAGUAAUAGUAUGAAAAAUCUGAUCUUGUUUCAGCAGUUUGAUUUCACAUCAUGUAUAGUGACAUUGAAGGGGCAAAAUCCUAAUUGUGACAUAUUUACAUCAGAUUUAAAUCAUCAAAAACACUAUUGAUAACAAUAAAUUAAGUAUGUUUCACCACAAACCAUUCUGUUAUAUAUGGCGCAUAUUCAUCACCAAAAGAGGUAUUCCUAAGUACUAAUGUUAACGAUCAUUUAUUACGAUGCAUAGGUGACGGAAGCUAUGUGGCAUAAAUUCAAUAUCAAAGAAAGAGCUUGAAUUACGUGCAAUUUGAUACUUUAAGCAAAUAUUAGUACAAUAUGAUAUUUUUGUUUCUCUUACUAUGUUCAUAAUAGUAAAAAUGCUUUUGGAACAUGUACAUGGCGAUUAAAGCAUACAUUGCAUAUGUCAGAGGCUGUUUAGGUUCUCAUUAUUCAUUUUUGUUGUAAAAUGACGUGUCGGUAUUAACUUUGAAUAACACUGAUACGAACACAUCAAACAAUUGCGGUACUUGACCAGAUGGAAAUGAGAUGUAAAGCCAUAUCAUACAUUCAUGUCAUUCAAAUUCAGCCACUCAGAGAGAUGGAAAGGAUUGCAAAGCUGAGUUUUACUUUCAGUUUUACUCUCACCUGACUGAUGCAGAUACAGUAACCUACUUGUUCAUGAAAAAAAGGCCCAAAAAUUCCAACAUGGAGCCUUACUAAAUCAACUUGGUGUAGUUUGACAAUUAAAAUUCUUCAGAAUUCGACGGUUGUACCAUGCAGCAGUCAUACUAUGAAGUGUCUCACAGAUUUUUUUCUAAUUUCUGCAAUAUUGAGGUACAGUUUAGCGUAAAGAAGAUUAAUCUUCUGACAGUUAGAAGUAACUGUUCUUUUAAAUUAACAUUAACCGUUCCUGCAUUUUUGAGUGAUUAUAGAGUGAAUAUGUUUCCAUAUUAAAUGUUGUCUUUUAUGUGUAAAAUUUCACAUGCUAUAAAUGAUUACAAAUACAUGAACGCACAUUUUGUUUCUUAAUAUAUGCACGUUUUGAUUCCAAUAAUUAAACACUCAAGUGUAUUAAAUUUGGUUUGAAACAGAAAUGUCGUCCUGUUGUUUGUUUCUAAACAAUCAGUAGUAUGUAUUCGUGUUGAUAGUUACCAUGUCAAUUCAGAAAAUGAGUCAAUUUUUAAACAGUUACCAUGGUAGCCAGAGUCUAGUGUUCUAGGGAAACUGUCAAUGUUGUCUUAAAUUUAUUUACCCUUAAAAUUUGUUGACAAUGUCAUUCUUAUAUUUUAUUGUUAAGAAUUGCUUAGUGGUGAUAAGUUCACGUUUUUAACAAUUGUCAGGAAAUCCAAGAUAAACUUACAGAAUUUUCCUGUUUAACAUAAAAUGAUGUUUCUUAGCAUUUUUUUUUAUUUUUAUUAAAUGGUUACCAUAGCAACUAUUUUUUUGUUUGCCUUCCUAUUUAUAAUACUAUUCAUUGUGAAAAUGCAAAUGUUCAUCAGUGAAUGUAAGAAAAUAAAUGUUCUGUAACUUUUACUUUAUUGUUAGCUCAUGCUUCAAAAUAUGCGGCAUUUUUAAAAUUUCCUAAAAAUAAAGAAAAAAAUUAUCGUGAAAUAUUCUGCUUAAAACAUUAUUUUAACUCUGAUUUUUAGAAAUUUGUAUUAAAUAAAGAAAAUAGUUUGUUUACAUUUCUCAUUUCAUUUAAAUUCAGAGGUUGUGAAUUUGACCUAUUUGGCAGAAUUUUUUUUAUAAAAAUAUAAAAUUAAAAGAGCCAUAAUUCUGUCAAUUCUGAUAAUAAUAAUAAAUUCUGAUGGAUUUUUAAAAGAUAUGCAUAUUUGAGUUUGUAAUGACCAAACCUUUAAAAUGGUAUAUCACUUGACUAUACCACAUGAAAUUAUUUAUUUACGUUGUUAUUGCUAUCAAUAGUUUAUAUAGUGAAUAACAUUUGAUAUUGUUUUCCUGUACGUUGAAUUUACGAUGAAUAAUGUAUUUAAUGCAACAACCAGGUUAAUUAUCGCAAUGAGUUAUUUGUGACUGUCUAUAUGUGCAUUAAUAUUACCAUUUUUAAGAAUCUAUUAAAUCAAUUACGUAAUAGUUGAACUUUCGGACAGCCUUAAAACAAAUGCCCAUUUGUAACAAUAAUACUUUAAUAAAGUCCUAUAGACUUUCGAACGUCAGUUUAUAUACAUAUUUCCUUUUCCAUAUCAUUUGAUUUACAUCGGUUUGUAGUCACUGUAAGGGUUUUCAGAGAAACUUGCAACAAAUUACGCUUCAACCAAAACAAAAUGAUGAAAAUAAUAACUAAAUUGCAAUGCGGAAAACGUGAAAAAAAACACACAAAUAUAUAAUAAUGUUAGAAAAAAUCUAUGUCUUUUAUUUUAUCGUAUUUGGUCAGUACACAAAUUGAACAUACGUGUAGUUAGUUAUUUGAGAAGACAGAGAGUAAAACCACACAGUUUGAUAAAACCUAACACAUUUCUGUGUUUCAGAGCGAAACAGUUUGUAAAUAGUCCAAACAAUUGCACAGUAAUGAUAGAACAUGGGUUAAAUUUCGUGUCUUGGUCAAACAUAAAAAAUAGCACAUGCUUGAUCAGAUAACUAGCAUACAGAGUAUGUAACAACUUAAGAUUCAAUUAUAGAUACCUUUAUCGAAACGUCGUAAAUGUGAAUACAUAUCACAAAACAAAAGACUAUUAAUAAAUACGUGUAUAGUAAGUUCUAUUUGACAGACAUAGUUUGUAACAUCAAAUCAUUCGAUGACAAAUGGCCAAUGUCGUUUUGUUUUCGCAAUGCUUGUGGCUAAGGCAAGACCUAUAGUUGACUCGUGUGUAAUAAAUUAAUUUAUCGUGUACAAAACAAACUCAUAUAAUGGAAGAACGAAGGUUUUAAUUGUAUCUCGAACAUUGUGAAACACAGCCACAAACUAACCGAGUUAAGAUGAUAAGUCGUAUAUAAUAUGCAAAAGAAAGCCUUUUUUUCAGAACCUAAACAUUUGCGAAAGGUUUCAACAAAAAAAGGAAAUAUCAACACAUAAUUCGAGGAAAAAAAGCUAUUUGUAAACAUAAAAAGCAUAUCAAAAUCUGUUACUUACACUUUUUUCGUAUUUAUUUCAAAACCAAAAGUCAUCAUGUUAAAAUUUUUAUUGGGCAGGUAUAACUUGCAAUACGACAACAUUCAGUGAAAAAAACAAUAGUUUUAUUGCAGCAAAUAACAACACAAUAACAAACAGAAUAGAAGUGACAAAAUAAUCGAAUAUAGGACUUUAUAGUAUAAAGAGCAACGCCUUAAUCACGUUAAAUAAGUAUUCAACGACCAGUUACAUUAAUCUUCUGUAAAUUUAUGAAUUGAGCCUGGACUCAUUUAAAGCACGCUUGUUAACAACGACGAACUGUAUAUGCUAAAAUGAACAACAAGUUUUCUGAUCUGUUCUGCUGUGUUCUUUUCUGAUAAAGAUAUUUUAAAUAGCAUACAUAAGCAGAAAUUGCAUGUAAUAAAAUACGUUUAAGCAAAACUCUCUAGUACAGUCUUUUUUUCCUACCUUUUCGAAGUAUAUUAAUGCUUCUUUAAUUAAUUUAUUUUUUGGUUUAAGCAUUGCCUUUUGUUUGUCUUGUCAUUUUACAUCUUCUUUUAUCUGUUUCUCUAUCAAUAUAAAACUCUCUCAUUUUUAUGUAUGGCAACCACUCCCACUUCUUAAAUAACAUUACAUGAUAACACCAUAUUUUUUACAUUUAGUGUGUAUAUGAUUUACUGUGUUGUGUAAUGCGGAAUAUUUAAUAAUAAUAAAAAGGUAUAUAAAAUAGUUUUCAUCGUUGACCUUUCUGUUACCUUUAACUAUAUGGCAUCCAUUUAAUAUCAAUGGAAGAGCUUAAACACAUGAAAUUUUACAAGGUAGGCAAAUGAUUGUAAACUAUGAUGUUUGUUUGUUAAUAAUAUAGGUCUUAAUUGCAUUUUAGCAAAACAUUUUGUAAAGAGUUCAAGAGUGUAGGUUCGUACUUACUAGGCCCAUACUAUUUAAGAAUGGUGAUUUAAUUCAGAGUCGAAAGCUGUGUUUUCUCUUUCUAAAAAUUAAGUAUAAGUGUGUAUGUCUAUAUUAGCUUUUGUAUUUGUAACAAUUGAAACUCCAUUACUAUGUGUAGUAUUUCCACUGAAAAAAAACAGGUUAUAAUAGAAAGGUUUGAACGAUGUAUUUCUUAUAACAAUAUGAUAUCAUACUUAUUACUAAAAGUCCAUUUGAGUAUUUGAUUUGUUUCUGUUUGUCUAUGUUACCUUAACCUGGAACAUAAAUGAUACAUGUAUUUGUGUUUCCAUUUUACAAACUUAUAAAGAUGUCUGAAUCCUACGACAGUUUCUAGUCAUAACAGAAAAGGGUAAACAUGUAUGAAACAAAAGCGAAUGACAUUUGCAAAAAUGUGUGUAGUGGCAAACAAGUUAGAUCGAUAGUUGUGUUCAUUUUUUAAAUUGUGUUAUACAUAUAUGAUGUUUUUGGAAGUAUGAUGUAUGUGUAAUAACAUUCAUUAUUGAACAUAGUAUUAUGUCAUAAUUUUGACAAUGGUAAUAAAAUACAAGCUUACACACAUUUAUAUUUUGUCCGUAACAAUGCAAUAGGGAAGUAGUAAUAUUUAUAUUCAACAAAACGAAAAUUGUUGUUAACUAUUGGGGAAAAAACAUUUUCACUUUUCAAUUAAUUAUCAAAUUGUUUAAAUUGUUUACAUUCAUAUACAAAUUCAUAGGCAAAUGUUUAUAACGUUUGAUUUAUAUUUCUCUUUCUUUGAUAACAAAUUAAAAGCUCCUGCAAUUUAUUACGAAUAGCGCAUAUACAUCACAAGCAACGGACAUUCUUUGAUUAAUUUAAUAAAUUGAAUAUUGUGUGUUUUUUACAGAUAUUGAUAAGGCAAGUUGACAUACCAUGGUCAAACUGAAAAACCAUCAUCAAAGUUAAUGAAUAAACAACAUAAGAAAAUGGUAUAGUUAGAAAUGCGUUUCAUCUAUUUAAAUGAAACAUGAUUAGGAUAUGUGACUAGGUCUAGGUAAAGUCCGGUCGUGAAUAAUUAUUGAUUUAAUUUAUUCGGAAAAACUCUAACAAAUACAUAGUUGAAAGCUAUGAAGUCUCAAUUAUUACAUAAAUAAUGUCACAAAAUUGCAUAUUGAUCGAAUUUUAACUUUGGAUAAACAGUUUGAUUUUGCAGGUAUAGCUUGACAAUCCAGAACAAUCGGUUACAAAAUAAAAAGGUGAUAUGAUUGCAGCAAUGUAAAAAUGAAAGCAAUCCAAAACUGUAUAAUGUUUUCGCGAAAAUAUUUUUGAAGACUUUGAAGUGUACAAGAUUGUACAAUAUUUAAAAAUAUAAUCAAUUUAAG